rnacentral:rRNA from 1 species
GAUUGGUUACCUUUGUUACGACUUAGCCCCAGUCACCAAGUUUACCCUAGGCGGCUCCUUUUCGGUUACCGACUUCAGGUACCCCCGGCUCCCAUGGCUUGACGGGCGGUGUGUACAAGGCCCGGGAACGUAUUCACCGCGCCAUGGCUGAUGCGCAGAUUACUAGCGAUUCCAGCUUCACGAAGUCGGGUUGCAGACUUCGAUCCGAACUGAGACCGGCUUUCGAGAUUCGCUCCCUGUCACCAGGUGGCUGCCCUCUGUACCGGCCAUUGUAGCACGUGUGUAGCCCUGGACGUAAGGGCCGUGCUGAUUUGACGUCAUCCCCACCUUCCUCUCUACUUGCGUAGGCAGUUUCACUAGAGUCCCCAGCUUUACCUGAUGGCAACUAAUGAUAAGGGUUGCGCUCGUUAUGGGACUUAACCCGACACCUACGGCACGAGCUGACGAUAACCAUGCAGCACCUCGCUCAACGCCCCGAAGGGACUUGAGAUUUCUUCCCAAUAACAUCAAGCGUUCAAGCCCAGGUAAGGUUCCUCGCGUAUCAUCGAAUUAAACCACAUGCUCCACCGCUUGUGCGGGCCCCCGUCAAUUCCUUUGAGUUUAACCUUGCGAUCGUCUCCCAGUGGACACUUAUACUUUCGNUAACCGUGACUGUGAUCGCCACACGAGUGAUAUGUUACAGCGGGACUANAAGNUUUUAAUCUGUUNGAUCCCACCUUUCNGCUGACCNUAGUAUACUGGGGAGNGCUUUGNUUUNGGUNUGACAAUUNUGUUNACCGUUAUGUANUUCGCCCCUACUACUAGAUUACGNUUAAGNNCCCANNUNNCCGGGAUUNCCUGNUNNNCGNGGCCUUAACANAUCGAAACCGAUCUCNUACCGGUUGGNCGGUNCNNUUUNGGCUACUAAUAGGUUCUAANNUNCCAGNUUCGGGGNG